GGUGAGUAACACGUGGGUAACCUGCCUGUAAGACUGGGAUAACUCCGGGAAACCGGAGCUAAUACCGGAUAGUUCCUUGAACCGCAUGGUUCAAGGAUGAAAGACGGUUUCGGCUGUCACUUACAGAUGGACCCGCGGCGCAUUAGCUAGUUGGUGAGGUAACGGCUCACCAAGGCGACGAUGCGUAGCCGACCUGAGAGGGUGAUCGGCCACACUGGGACUGAGACACGGCCCAGACUCCUACGGGAGGCAGCAGUAGGGAAUCUUCCGCAAUGGACGAAAGUCUGACGGAGCAACGCCGCGUGAGUGAUGAAGGUUUUCGGAUCGUAAAGCUCUGUUGUUAGGGAAGAACAAGUGCAAGAGUAACUGCUUGCACCUUGACGGUACCUAACCAGAAAGCCACGGCUAACUACGUGCCAGCAGCCGCGGUAAUACGUAGGUGGCAAGCGUUGUCCGGAAUUAUUGGGCGUAAAGGGCUCGCAGGCGGUUUCUUAAGUCUGAUGUGAAAGCCCCCGGCUCAACCGGGGAGGGUCAUUGGAAACUGGGAAACUUGAGUGCAGAAGAGGAGAGUGGAAUUCCACGUGUAGCGGUGAAAUGCGUAGAGAUGUGGAGGAACACCAGUGGCGAAGGCGACUCUCUGGUCUGUAACUGACGCUGAGGAGCGAAAGCGUGGGGAGCGAACAGGAUUAGAUACCCUGGUAGUCCACGCCGUAAACGAUGAGUGCUAAGUGUUAGGGGGUUUCCGCCCCUUAGUGCUGCAGCUAACGCAUUAAGCACUCCGCCUGGGGAGUACGGUCGCAAGACUGAAACUCAAAGGAAUUGACGGGGGCCCGCACAAGCGGUGGAGCAUGUGGUUUAAUUCGAAGCAACGCGAAGAACCUUACCAGGUCUUGACAUCCUCUGACAACCCUAGAGAUAGGGCUUUCCCUUCGGGGACAGAGUGACAGGUGGUGCAUGGUUGUCGUCAGCUCGUGUCGUGAGAUGUUGGGUUAAGUCCCGCAACGAGCGCAACCCUUGAUCUUAGUUGCCAGCAUUCAGUUGGGCACUCUAAGGUGACUGCCGGUGACAAACCGGAGGAAGGUGGGGAUGACGUCAAAUCAUCAUGCCCCUUAUGACCUGGGCUACACACGUGCUACAAUGGACAGAACAAAGGGCUGCGAGACCGCAAGGUUUAGCCAAUCCCACAAAUCUGUUCUCAGUUCGGAUCGCAGUCUGCAACUCGACUG
rnacentral:rRNA from 1 species